rnacentral:rRNA from 1 species
ACGGGAGGCAGCAGUGGGGAAUAUUGGACAAUGGGGGAAACCCUGAUCCAGCGACGCCGCGUGAGUGAAGAAGUAUUUCGGUAUGUAAAGCUCUAUCAGCAAGGAAGAAAAUGACGGUACUUGACUAAGAAGCUCCGGCUAAAUACGUGCCAGCAGCCGCGGUAAUACGUAUGGAGCAAGCGUUAUCCGGAUUUACUGGGUGUAAAGGGAGCGUAGACGGCGAAGCAAGUCUGAAGUGAAAUGCCGGGGCUUAACCCCGGAACUGCUUUGGAAACUGUUUUGCUAGAGUGCAGGAGAGGUAAGCGGAAUUCCUAGUGUAGCGGUGAAAUGCGUAGAUAUUAGGAGGAACACCAGUGGCGAAGGCGGCUUGCUGGACAGAAACUGACGCUGAGGCUCGAAAGCGUGGGGAGCAAACAGGAUUAGAUACCCUGGUA